GGAUAGCUCAAUUGGCAGAGCAUGAGACUCUUAAUCUCAGAGUCAUGGGUUAGAGUUCCACAUUAGCCA